rnacentral:lncRNA from 1 species
ACAGGUUUGUUCUGAGUUAUUUAGAGUAAAUAAUUCUUGGGGAUUAUGCAUAGUGGUUAAAGAAAUAAUAUGGAAAGUAUUAGGUGAUGAUGUGUGAGAAAGAAAAUUUAUCAGAAAAACAGAAAACAAUGCAACAUAGGGACUGUGCAUACUACAUUUCAGAGGGCUGUCCUAGUUUCUGUCUCUUACAUUGGAGUAGAAACUCAAAGGCAUGGCAACAAGAGCAGGAUGUAACUGGCAGCGUUGAACGCUCAGUCAGGGAGCAGAGAGUUACAUGUGCUUCUGCUCUGUGGCUUCUUUUCUUUUUAUCUAGUCUAAGACCAAGGCAUUUAAGGCAGGUCUCCCUCAUUGAACUUAAUCUAGACAAUCCCUUACUGAUGUGCCUGGAGACUUGUUUCCAUGGUGAUUCUAAAUGGCAUCAAUGUGGCAAUCAAGAGUAAAGUAUCACACAGAAGAAGCAAGAGAAGUAGGAAGCAAUCCUCUCCCUUUUCUUUGCCAUUUCUAAUACCUUCAUCAUUAUAGUUUCUUAGUCAGACCUAAAGUUAAGAACUUAUGUGAGCAAACCUGUUGGUCAUCAAACGUAGAUAUUUCAAACCACCAGAAGCCAACGAUCCUUAAGUAAUUAUUAGUUGGCAGUGGAAGACUA